UUUUCUACGAAGCGGAGAAUUUAAGCCCCAGUAAACGGCGGUGGUAACUAUAACCAUCCUAAGGUAGCGAAAUUCCUUGUCGGGUAAGUUCCGACCUGCACGAAUGGCGUAACGACUUCCCUGCUGUCUCAACCACAGGCCCGGUGAAAUUGCAGUACGAGUAAAGAUGCUCGUUACGCGCGGCAGGACGAAAAGACCCCGGGACCUUCACUAUAGCUUGGUAUUGGUGUUCGGUUAGGCUUGUGUAGGAUAGGUGGGAGACUGUGAAGCAUUAACGCUAGUUAGUGUGGAGUCGUUGGUGAAAUACCACUCUGGUCUGAUUGGAUGUCUAACCUUGGCCCAUGAUCUGGGUUGGGGACAGUGCCUGGUGGGUAGUUUAACUGGGGCGGUUGCCUCCUAAAUAGUAACGGAGGCGCCCAAAGGUUCCCUCAGCUUGGUUGGUAAUCAGGUGUUGAGUGUAAGUGUAUAAGGGAGCUUGACUGUGAGAGUGACAACUCGAGCAGGGACGAAAGUCGGGACUAGUGAUCCGGCACCUACUUGUGGAAGUGGUGUCGCUCAACGGAUAAAAGGUACCCCGGGGAUAACAGGCUGAUCUUCCCCAAGAGUCCAUAUCGACGGGAUGGUUUGGCACCUCGAUGUCGGCUCGUCGCAUCCUGGGGCUGGAGUAGGUCCCAAGGGUUGGGCUGUUCGCCCAUUAAAGCGGCACGCGAGCUGGGUUUAGAACGUCGUGAGACAGUUCGGUCUCUAUCCGCCGCGCGCGUAGAAACUUGAAGAAGGCUGUCCCUAGUACGAGAGGACCGGGACGGACGUACCUCUGGUGUGCCAGUUGUUCCGCCAGGAGCAGGGCUGGUUGGCUACGUACGGAAGGGAUAACCGCUGAAAGCAUCUAAGCGGGAAGCCUGUUUUAAGAUGAGGUUUCGUUUGAGGUUCCCUGUAGAUGACGGGGUUGAUAGGCCAGGGCUGGAAGCAUUGUAAGGUGUGGAGGUGACUGGUACUAAUAGGCCGAACUUAAAAAC
rnacentral:rRNA from 1 species